UUAAAGUUCUCUCACAACAUAUUUAAUGGCAGAGAAUUUUUAAUUUUAUUUCUUCCCUUGCAAUAUCUUCAAUAGACUAUGAUUUUAAUAUUUGGUUCAUGUCUUGUAAAUUGAUCUAUGAAAAAUCAAAAGGGUUAAAGAAAUCAGUUGUAGCCUAAACAAAAAUCAAAUAUUAGCUCCUGAAGAGCAUUAGCUGGGAUUUUCUACAAUACAAAUUAUAACCUGCCAUGUUGAAUUCCUUGCAAUAAAUAUAUUGAUAAAAUACUUUCACUUUUAAAGUUUCCCUGAACAGUUUUCACAAAAUCUAGUGCCUAGUCCACAAAGUUCUUCAUCCUUAUUUAAAAUGAAUGUGGAUUUUGACACAUGUUCACUGACGGUUGCCUAGGAAAUUUUAGCAUGCUUUGGACAUAACUGAAAAAAGUUAUUCUUAGAAGCAUUUGCAAUUUCAGGUGGCUGUUACUUGAGAAGUACACAUGCAAAAAGGUGAAAAGACUAGCUUCUGUCACCACGGAUGUGUCAGUGUCUCCAUUACCCAUGUAAAAUUUAGCUUUAGUUUGCAUAAAGAGGAAGGGUGAUUCACCAUGGGUCAAAGAUUCAGCGCACUGUAAAAGGGCAAAAUUUUCAGCGACCUUAUCUAUUGCUGGUGGUUGUCACUGUGGGGGUCAAUUUAACUUUACAGCAUUCCUUUUUGCUGCCACAGCACAACUCCACACAAUUCCUUCAUUGAGUGCUCUUAGAUCCCCAGUGGGCACUUAAAACUCCCAGGGAAAUUGUAUAAUAGAAUAUAAUCUGACUGGCUGCAACCUACUGCAUUUCUGGCACUCCACAACAAAAACAAAUCAAAAUAAAUCCCCAGCAUUCAAAAACUUCCUUCACUCUUCUACUCUGCAAAGCAUGAUCAUAGGAGACAAUGUUUUGUUUGUUGUUGUUGUUGGUUUUUUUUUUUAAGAGGAACAAAAAGGAAAAGGAUAAAUGCGAAUAAUAGGAAUAUCUACGGAAUGCUAACAAAAAUCAGAAAAAACAAAAAAGAGUUGGCCACAAGCAUUCAGUACAAAAUUGAAUUAAUUGCAUGCAGAGUAAAGACUGAUUUAAAUUCACUCAUAAAAGCGGCAUUAAGGAGGAAUCUAGGUGUUCAGACAAGAAGUUCUGUUGUAAGAUAAAAUGCUAUACAAGGUUAUAACAUCGAAAGCCUCAGUUUUUUAUAUAUGUUUUUCUUUAACUCACCUGGUAAAUCUGGCAAACAGAAUUAGCUAUGUAAGCCAUCUACUCAACAUCUUCUCAAAGUCAAACAGAAUAAGCAGUUACAGCAGUUCUUCAUCAUAUGCUCUUUUAAAAAGUUAUUUCUUAUUUAUUUUUAUUGCAUACAAGUGGUUGCUGGUAUACAACAGCAAAUUGAAUAUGUUUUACAAAAACAGUUAUAGAUCUCAAUUUUUUUUUAGUAAUUAAUAACUUCUUCAUCCACCUUGUUUGCAACUUAAAAAGUCAGAUUUCAUGGGGAAGCUGAAGGAGAGAUGAUGAACCCUUUAGCUCUAAAAAACUCCUACAUGAGAGUCCUUGAUAUUUUGUCUUUGAAAUUUUUUAGGGGAGGGAGCUUAACAGUAAUAAAUUAUUCAGUAAAAUGUGCACAAUUAAGUGCCAUUUAGAAUAUUUUAAACAUGGAUUUUCAAGCUUUCUUUUAAGAAAUUGUAGUCACAGAAAAACAGGGCUAGCAAGCUAAGUCACUUUAAUGCUUUAAAAUUACCACCUUCAGAGGGAGGCUGUAGCUGUAAAUAACACAAUAUGAUGUUUUAUUUGAUUUGAUUUCAGACCUCAAGAUCUGUAUGUUCUCAUGCUGCGCCCUGAAAUUUUGCAAACAUGAAUUUAUUUCCCACAUUUAGUGAGGCUGCUCAAGCAUUUGACUACAUAUUUAUAUGCUUUUUGAGGAAAACACAUAAAUCAUCCAUCCACUGUUAGGUGACAGAAAAAUUAAAGGAAAUACUCACUGGUUUAGUAUCUAUCUAUCUAUCUAUCUAUCUAUCUAUCUAUCUAUCUAUCUAUCUAUCUAUCUAUCUAUCUAUCUAUCUGUGUGUGUGUGUGUGUGUCUACAUGUAUAAAUUUGUUUAUUUUUUUCACCUCCACCCCCAGUUCAGACACUUAAACCAAUUCAAGGACCUAGGUGGGUAUGGAAAGUUUGUUACAGAGACAACUGGUGUCUGAAUCAGCAGGAUACACAUCACUGUACUGCAAUCUAGAUGAGCUUUCAAGAUUAAGACAAGUCUCUCUCACAAACAAGAGUAACUCAUGUACUGAUUGUGGUGUUUUAAAGUACACAGUCUUGUCUUUAAGUAUCUAAUUACAGCAUAUGUUUUGAGAUAAAAGUAUAAAUAAUGGACUAUUUCCAUCUAAAUGUCCAGCUCUUCUAUUUGAGGCUGAGAACCAUCUCUCCUUACAGCAAUUAUUCUGGCUAUAUCCUCUUGUUAAAGUGAUAGAUCACCAAGACCACUUAAAAUGUUCUUAAUUUUUUGGGUGGAAUUGCAAGCAAAAUAGUGAAUUCUCAAUAGAGGUUUUAGAAUGUGUAUUUCAAUACUGAUUAUUGAGAGAGUUAGAAAAUUAUAAUGCAUCUUUUCAACUUCAAAUCAUUUCAGCUCUGAUGAAUCAUUGUGAAAUAUAAGAAUCACACAGUUUUUUUUUAAUAUAUUUGUGACUUGAUGAGUACUGGAAAUAUUAUUAUUUGGUGUGUACGAUGUGAAUACACAGGCUUGUAAAUACAAAUUAGUCAAUUCCAUCCUUUAAAGAAAAAUUCAUGGUUUUUGCCUUACUUAUUUUCUAAGAUAUUUUAAAUAAGGAAAAAAAUUAUAAAAUCAAUCCUUGUCAUGGAUUUUACGGCGUAUUAAAUAUUAUACAGAAGACUUUUUUCAUAUGCAACAUAUAUAUAAAAAAAGCAGCCUAAUAAAUUCAAGAGGCACCUUAAUCAGAAGGCAAGUAAGGACUAUGAAUGCCACAGCUAAGGAAACAAAAGCUGCUUGGUGCUAAAUAUAUCUCAUCCCAACAAAAGAAAUUCAGGAAAACUUUAGAAAGACAAACGAACAAAAACAACUCACAGACUUUAAAAACAUUUAAGAGUUCUGUCUUUUCAGAAUAUGAAAUUUUCCUUUACUGGAAUUCAUAAACUGCAUUCUUCCCCUCCAGGUGCACUACAUAGAGGUCAGUAUAACCCCAUAGCCCACCAAACAUAGUAUUGCAAAGACUAGGCCAUAUGUUUUGUACUGGUGUUGCAAGGACUCAGAAAUCAGCUUUGUCAGGAAUAACUUGUACUUUUCUUGACCUGCCUGGAACAUUGUUUUCGAUUGUUCAGCUAUAAAAGCCCGACUAGGUGUCUAUGACUGGUUUGCUUUAUUUUUCUACAGCUCUGUAUUAUAUAACUGUAAUCCUGUACAUACUCUUGCAACAAGUAGAACAAAAUAGUAGUGGCUCUGACAUAAUAGUGUAAAGCAGAGAAAUGCAGGUUUGUUAUGGCAGUGGAGGAUUUAAAAGCGGGUUGGAAACUGCGUGGAAUGUAGAGGAACCCAGGCAUGGGAUGGUGAGAGAAGUGACCCAGGGUUGGCUCUAGAGAGCCUAGACCUGUAAACUUAACUAUGGACAAUUAAAGGAAUGCAGAGUAACUCAGAAAAAAGCAAGUGCCCAGUAUAUGCAACACACUUUCUAUAUACUAAAUUCAGCUUUAACAUGGACCUACAGACCUGCAAAGAAAGAGCAAAGUUUGUGUGGUGUGUUAGAAGAACAAAUAAAUGACCCAAACCAGCUCCUACAGUGAGGGGGAGGCAGUUACCAUUAACAUUAUAUUGCUCUUGUCAAUGCAUUCAGGAUCCUGAAAACUUGCAUGUCCAACUGAAGAUAUCAACUGCAAGAGGCCAAGAAGCAGUAGAAGGAUGAAUAUAAAUGCAAGGAAAGGGGUAGAUAAAAAGAAGUCCAUGUUUAAUAAUUUUACUUUAUUACUAUUACUGAGUCUUCCACAAUAAAAGAGAGUUUGUUAAUUUGUUUUUCUUUAUUUUCCUUUCAUUUCCUAUAUUCCUUUAUUUGAAAGAAUAAAUAUUCUUCAAAUAACUAUAUAGGAUUUAAAUUAUCCAAAGAAAAAAUACUUGGUUUACAUAUAUAAGAUUUGGGGGAUUUUUGCCUUUAGGAAGAUAGAAACUUAAGUUUAGAUCCCUGAAAAAUGGUACUGAAAGAAUUUUUUAGUGUUUCAACACAAGGAAAUAACCUUCUAGUUCAGUUAAACUCAUGCAACCUGAUGUUCAUUUGGAACAGCUUCUCCUACAAUCAUCUACACAUUGUUUUUUUCUUCUACAUACCCUUCUUUCCAAUUUGUAUGUACCAACCUUUGCAUUUAAAAAAAAUCCACAGGGCUAUAUAUAUUUGUUCAGGCAUUUGAAGAAAAAAUACUUUUAUGACUUUCUGUCUAUGUCUAAGAUAUUUAAUCCUAACAGAAUGCUAUUGGAAUAACAUUUUUUAUUUCAGUUUCAAGAAACAUGGAAUGGAAGAAACACUUGAUAUAAUGCAUUUAUUUCUAUAACAACCUACUCUGACAAAACUUCAUUAUACUUCAGGCUAUCAACUGGAGCAUCUGUUCACAUAUCCCUUAAACUGUAAAGUGGGCAAUGUAUCAGCACAAAGUGCAUGUUAAAACACCAGAGUGAUAUUAGGAUCAUCCCUUCUCAAGUGAAAAUGAAUACUUUUAGCCAAACUUUUGCAUAUGUCCUUUCCAAAAAACAAAACAAAAAAAGAGGGAGUGUAUACCCUACACAUUACCAGAAUAUAUUGGCUGCUACAUGCAAAAAAGUAGCAUGUAAGUGAAAACAUUAGAAGAGACUACACAGAAUAUGGUUUCCCCAUGGAAAUAUUUCUGCAAGACAAGCAGCCUAUAGGCAAAGUAGGUUGAAGUUAUUCCAGCACCAGGUAAAAACUUUCAAGCUGAAGGCAUCCCAAAAAUCCACUCAUUUUCACUUUUUUGCGCACAUGUUACAGCUACUUCAAGCAGAUCUCAAAAUCUGAAAGAGUAUGAGCUUUGAUUGAAACAAGUGCUAUUUCCUUACUAACUGUGCUAAUUCAGCAAAAUGGUAAAGCUGAGCUGAAUCAUCAUGCAAAUCUGUGAGAAGCUUUAAAAUACUAGCUGAAAAAUGAAAACACAUUUUAUAUUUAUUUGCAAAGCCAAGAGACUAAAAAUUUGAACCUUACGUCUGCUGAACUUUACAAUAUACUACAGAGCAAGAAUAAUAAUAUUAAAAAAUUUAAAAUGAACUCUAAACCUAGUAGGAGGCACAGUCACAACCAUUUGCAAUAGAAUUGGCUAUCCUUUAUGUCACAUUAUUAUAAUGUACAGAAAAUACACAUUUCCUGAUAGAGCCAUCAGUUAUGUUUAUGUUCCAGUACAAUACACAUUCACAACAUACUUCAUUAAAAAGUAGCUUGUAAGAGAAACAGACACACAGCUUGCAUCAGAAUUCUAGCUGCAGAGGACCCUAAAAAUAUCUACAAUUGCACUUCCAGCUUCAUGUUUAGUUUUCAAUCUCCUAUAAACCAAAACACCUGAAUAAUAACACGAAGUUGGCCACUGUUCUGAAACCCAUUGACCACCUUUUCUCACAAGAGAGCAAAUGUGGUUGAAGCUAUACAACCACAUUCAAGUGUUGUCCCAAAACAGACUGCUACAUGCAACCAGCAAGCUCCAGACAAGUUCUGCGGCUUUCAAAGCAUGCAAAAAACUGAUAAACACUCUCAGCCUUCCAAAUGUCAGAGAGCAUUCAGGCAUAACUCCAGAGACAAGAUAUCCUUGUUGAAGAUACUGCUCCAGAAAACAAUUCGGAGGAAUUGAACUGUCUUCUACCUGAAAUUGAUCCACAGAAUUCCUUCUUCACUAACAGCACAAAGAGAUAAGCCUUCCUUGACUUUUCUUCCUGGAAAUUGUAUUUUGUCUGCCUAGGCUCUCCUUCAGUAGGGAAAUAUGCCUAGAAGAUUCAAGAUAAGCGUCUUCCAUUGCUGCAAAUUGUUGGUCCAAAAGUUGUGACUGACCAGAAGGCACUAUGGUUACAUGCCAGCAUUUCAAGGGUUGUGCUUGAAUACUCAGCUGCUGAGCAGGCUGGAAAUAUGAGGCUGCAUGCAUCUGGUCACAAUUGACCCCAAACUCCUUAGUCUGCUAUUUCCUGUCUGCUAUAUGUCUCACUGAAUACCCAAAAUCAUGAAUCAAAACAGUUCAACAGAGAAGGAAGAGAGAAAUAGCACACAAAAAUUUUUAAAGGUAAGAAAAAAACUAAAGUAAGAGCAGUUAAGGGGUCAGAUAACAAUUUUUCUGAUCAAAAUUAUGGUAAAAUUCUUAUUUUGCUUCCAGGAAAUUGAAUUAAAAUGUUGUGAGAUUUGAUGUAGAUGAGUUGUCGUCUACAGGAGGACUCAUUACUUCAGUAAGCCUAAGGACAAGAAGCUUAAGGACAUCUAUGGAUUAUAUUUCCUGCAACACAGCGCGUGGGAUUGAGUGCAAAUAUUGGAGGGAAGGGAUGCAAUCCGAGUGGACCCUGACAGGCAGAAGUUGGCCCAUGUGAACUUCAUGAAGCUGAACAAGGCAAAGUGCAAGGUGCUGCAUCUGGGUCAGAGCAAUUCCAAGCUCAAAUACGGUCUGGGUAGAGAACGGAUUGAGAAAAGCCCAGAGAAGAUGGACUUGUGGGUGUUGGUUAAUGAGAGGCUCAAAAUGAGCUGGCAAUGUGUUUUCAGCCCAGAAAGCCAAUCAUGUCCUGGGCUGCAUCAAAAGUAACAUGGCUAGCAAGGUGAGGGAGGUGUUCUUCUCUCUCUCCUCCUCUCUCCUGAGACCCCACCUGGAGUGCUGCAUCCAGCUCUGGGUUCACCAGCAUAAAAAGGAUGUGAACCUGCUGAAGCAAGAUCAGAGGAGGACCAUGAAAGAUGAUGAGAGGGCUGGAACUCUUCAUCUGUGAGGACAGGCUGAGGGAGUAGGGGUUUUUCAGCCUGGAGAAGAGCAGGUUCCAAGGAGACCUUAUGGCACCCUUCCACUAUAUUAAGGGGACUCACAAGAAUGCUGGGGGAACUGGUCACAAGGACAUAUAGUGAUAAGACAAGGGGCAAGGUUUAUAAACUAAAAGAGUGUAGGUUUAGACAGAUAGUAGGAAGAAAUACUUUACUGUGAGGGUACUGGAAUAAAUUUCCUAGAAAAGCUGUGAAUGCCCCAUUCCUGAAAGUGUUCAAGGCCAGGUUGGAUGGGGAUUGAGACACCUGGUCUAGUGUAAAUUCUCCCUGCCCAUGGCAGAGGGGUUGGAAGGAAAUGGUCUUCAAGGUCCCUUCCAAGCCAAGAGUUCUAUGAUUCUAUGAUCAAAGACAUUGCAUGUCCAAAUUCUAAUGGCUGCAAACAGCCUGAGAAACUAAAUAAAUCUCUGAAAUUCCACUUGUAUUGUGUGUAGGUGGCAAGGUUUUGAGCAACAUGAGGGCUACAGGGAUGGCUGCUUUGGCAGGAGAUCAGAAUGAGUCUUUUCCCAGACUCAGCUGGUUUCAGCCUUCUCCACAAUGGACCCACAACUGGUAGAGUACAUUUAAAGAGAUAAGAGAAGGAGAAAGUGUGAGAAAUGAUCCUGCAAGCAACAUUGUCUGACAAGAAGAGUGAGGAUGUGCUCCAGGUGAUGUACCAGGCAGUCCUUUGUAACUCUUGCUGGAGCAAAUUAUUUCCCUAUAGCCCAUGUACUUGAUCACAUUGGAAUAAAUAUCCAUCUUGCAGCCCUCGAAA